GAGGGGCCCGCGGCCUAUCAGCUUGUCGGUGGGGUAACGGCCUACCGAGGCAACGACGGGUAGCCGGUCUGAGAGGACGGACGGCCACAGUGGGACUGAAAUAUGGUCCACAGCCCUACGGGGUUUAGCAUGGAGGAAUCUUGCGCAACGGCCUAACGGUCGGCGCAGCAACGCCGCGUGGGGGAGGAAGGCUUUCGGGUCGUAAACCCCUGUUGUGUAGGAAGAAGUACCUCCGGGGAGAGCCCGGGGGGAAGACGGUACUACACGAGGAAGCAUCGGCUAACUACGUGCCAGCAGCCGCGGUAAUACGUAGGAUGCAAGCGUUAUCCGGAUUUAUUGGGCGUAAAGCGCGCGCAGGCGGCGCUCAGCAGUGGCGCGUGGAAUCUCCCGGCUUACCUGGGAGGGGCCGCGCCAGACGGGAGUGCUUGAGGCAGGCAGAGGACCGUAGAACGGGCGGAGUAGGGGUGAAAUCCGUAGAGACCGUCCGGAAUACCAGUGGCGAAGGCGGCGGUCUGGGCCUGUCCUGACGCUCGGGCGCGAAAGCGUGGGGAGCGAACGGAAUUAGAUACUCCGGUAGUCCACGCCCUAAACGAUGGCAACUCGGUGU
rnacentral:rRNA from 1 species